rnacentral:rRNA from 1 species
GAUGAACGCUGGCGGCGUGCCUAAUACAUGCAAGUCGAGCGAACAGACGAGGAGCUUGCUCCUCUGAUGUUAGCGGCGGACGGGUGAGUAACACGUGGAUAACCUACCUAUAAGACUGGGAUAACUUCGGGAAACCGGAGCUAAUACCGGAUAACAUGUUGAACCGCAUGGUUCAACAGUGAAAGACGGUCUUGCUGUCACUUAUAGAUGGAUCCGCGCCGUAUUAGCUAGUUGGUAAGGUAACGGCUUACCAAGGCAACGAUGCGUAGCCGACCUGAGAGGGUGAUCGGCCACACUGGAACUGAGACACGGUCCAGACUCCUACGGGAGGCAGCAGUAGGGAAUCUUCCGCAAAGGGCGAAAGCCUGACGGAGCAACGCCGCGUGAGUGAAGAAGGUCUUCGGAUCGUAAAACUCUGUUAUUAGGGAAGAACAAAUGUGUAAGUAACUAUGCACGUCUUGACGGUACCUAAUCAGAAAGCCACGGCUAACUACGUG